rnacentral:rRNA from 1 species
UACGGAGGAUGCGAGCGUUAUCCGGAUUUAUUGGGUUUAAAGGGUGCGCAGGCGGAAUGUCAAGUCAGCGGUAAAAUUUCGGGGCUCAACCCCGCCGAGCCGUCGGAACUGGGGGCCUUGAGUGCGGCGGAGGCAUGCGGAAUGCGCGGUGUAGCGGUGAAAUGCAUAGAUAUCGCGCAGAACCCCGAUUGCGAAGGCAGCCUGCCGGCCCCACACUGACGCUGAGGCACGAAAGCGUGGGUAUCGAACAGG